UGAUCCGUAGGGGGCGUGAGAGCGUGACCCCCCACAUUGGCACUGAGACACGGGCCAAACUCCUACGGGAGGCAGCAGUGAGGAAUAUUGCACAAUGGGCGCAAGCCUGAUGCAGCAACGCCGCGUGAGGGACGAAGGCCUUCGGGUCGUAAACCUCUUUUCUGGGGGAAGAGACAGGACGGUACCUCAGGAAUAAGUCUCGGCUAACUACGUGCCAGCAGCCGCGGUAAAACGUAGGAGGCGAGCGUUAUCCGGAUUUACUGGGCGUAAAGCGCACGCAGGCGGCUUCGUGAGUCGGACGUGAAAGCUCCUGGCUUAACUGGGAGAGGUCGUUCGAUACUGCGAGGCUUGAGGUUGGGAGAGGGGUGUGGAAUUCCCGGUGUAGUGGUGGAAUGCGUAGAUAUCGGGAGGAACACCAGUGGCGAAGGCGGCACCCUGGCCCACACCUGACGCUGAGGUGCGAAAGCGUGGGUAGCAAACAGGAUUAGAUACCCUGGUAGUCCACGCUGUAAACGAUGUCAACUAGGUGUUGGUAGUGUUACACUAUCAGUGCCGUAGCUAACGCGUUAAGUUGACCGCCUGGGGACUACGGCCGCAAGGCUAAAACUCAAAGGAAUUGACGG
rnacentral:rRNA from 1 species